CAUUAUCCAACUUGUUAGAUACAGCUCCUUUCGAACUUAUGACCAAUAUGGUAAUUAAAACAGCCAUCUAUCUAGCCUUUUAUGGAUUUUUACGUCCAAAGAAAUUCACCACCAGUAAUGUAAUGGCCACAUACUACAUUAAAAUAGCCUAUAUGAACAAAUCCUUAGACCAUUAUGUUCUGUCACUUUAGAGUGUGUCAUCAUACAUCUUUUCC